rnacentral:misc_RNA from 1 species
ACUUGGUUGGGUUGCUGCUGGCUCUUAGGAGCAUGUGCACACCUAAUGCCAUUUUUAACCACCUGUGCACCCUUUGUAGAUUCUGAAGUACCUUUCGAGGAAACUCGGUUUGAGAACUGCUGUGCUGAAAAGCCAGCUUUUCUUGCAUUUCAGGUCUAUGUUUUUAUAUACCCCACAAGAAUGUAUUAGAAUGUUGUCAAUAGGCCUCUGUGCCUUUAAAACAAAUACAACUUUCAACAACGGAUCUCUUGGCUCUCGCAUCGAUGAAGAACGCAGCGAAAUGCGAUAAGUAAUGUGAAUUGCAGAAUUCAGUGAAUCAUCGAAUCUUUGAACGCACCUUGCGCUCCUUGGUAUUCCGAGGAGCAUGCCUGUUUGAGUGUCAUGAAAUUCUCAACCUUUCUGGCUUUGGCUGGUCAGGCUUGGAUUGUGGGAGCUGCUGGCUUUGCAGAAAAGUCAGCUCUCCUUAAAUGCAUUAGCAAAAUCUUUGCUAGGCCAUCUUUGGUGUGAUAAUUAUCUAUGCCACUGAUGCUUAGCUUCCUUGCAAGAGGGUGGUUUAGCUUCUAACUGUCCAUCUUGGACAAUUUUUUGACAAU